rnacentral:rRNA from 1 species
CCUGGUGGUUUGGGCGAAGUGGCACCACCCGUUCCCAUCCCGAACACGGAAGUGAAACGCUUCAGCGCAGACGAUACUGAGAGGGCAACCUUUUGUGGAAAAUAUGCCACUGCCAGGA